AUUGAACGCUGGCGGCAGGCCUAACACAUGCAAGUCGAACGAGUGGCGGACGGGUGAGUAAUGUCUGUGAAACUGCCUGAUGGAGGGGGAUAAUUACUGGAAACGGUAGCUAUUACUGCAUACCAUCGGAGGUGCCCAGAUGGGAUUAGUUAGUAGGUGGGUUAAAGGCUCACCAAGCCGACGAUCCCUAGCUGGUCUGAGAGGAUGACCAGCCACAUUGGAACUGAGACACGGUCCAGACUCCUACGGGAGGCAGAAGUGGGGAAGAGUGCACAAUGGGCGCAAGCCUGAUGCAGCCAUGCCGCGUGUGUGAAGAAGGCCUUCGGGUUGUAAAGUACUUUCAGCGGGGAGGCGUUACCCGCAGAAGAAGCACCGGCUAACUCCGUGCCAGCAGCCGCGGUAAUAC
rnacentral:rRNA from 1 species